rnacentral:rRNA from 1 species
GACGAACGCUGGCGGCGUGCCUAAUACAUGCAGGUAGAACGCUGAAGGAGGAGCUUGCUCUUCUGGAUGAGUUGCGAACGGGUGAGUAACGCGUAGGUAACCUGCCUGGUAGCGGGGGAUAACUAUUGGAAACGAUAGCUAAUACCGCAUAACAGUAGAUGUUGCAUGACAUUUACUUAAAAGGUGCAAUUGCAUCACUACCAGAUGGACCUGCGUUGUAUUAGCUAGUUGGUGGGGUAACGGCUCACCAAGGCGACGAUACAUAGCCGACCUGAGAGGGUGAUCGGCCACACUGGGAUGGAGACACGGCCCAGACUCCUGCGGGAGGCAGCAGGAGGGAAUCUCUGGCAAUGGACGGAAGGCUGACCGAGCAACGCCGCGUGAGUGAAGAAGGUUGUCGGAUCGUGAAGCUCUGUUGUAAGAGAAGAACGAGUGUGAGAGUGGAAAGUUCACACUGUGACGGUAUCUUGCCAGAAAGGGACGGCUAACUACGUG